rnacentral:rRNA from 1 species
UACAGAGGGGGCAAGCGUUGUUCGGAAUUACUGGGCGUAAAGGGCGCGUAGGUGGCCUGCUAAGUCGAACGUGAAAUCCCUGGGCUCAACCCAGGAACUGCGUCCGAUACUGGUUGGCUUGAAUCCGGGAGAGGGAUGUGGAAUUCCAGGUGUAGCGGUGAAAUGCGUAGAUAUCUGGAGGAACACCGGUGGCGAAGGCGGCAUCCUGGACCGGUAUUGACACUGAUGCGCGAAAGCCAGGGGAGCAAACGGG